rnacentral:rRNA from 1 species
CACGUAGGGUGCGAGCGUUGUCCGGAAUUAUUGGGCGUAAAGAGCUCGUAGGCGGUGUGUCGCGUCGGCCGUGAAAACCUGCAGCUUAACUGUGGGCUUGCGGUCGAUACGGGCAUCACUGGAGUUCGGCAGGGGAGACUGGAAUUCCUGGUGUAGCGGUGAAAUGCGCAGAUAUCAGGAGGAACACCGGUGGCGAAGGCGGGUCUCUGGGCAGUAACUGACGCUGGAGGAGCGAAAAGCGUGGGGAGCGAACAGG